UCCUGCUUAGUACGAGAGGAACCGCAGGUUCAGACAUUUGGUUUAUGUGCUUGGUCGAAAGACCAAUGGUGCGAAGCUACCAUCUGAGGGAUUAAGACUGAAAGCCUCUUAAGUCUGAAUCCCGCCCAGAAAUGCAACGAUACUAUCGGUGCCCCUACGCCGGGAGGCAACGAUAUACUCGGCCCGAAAUCCGAUUUCGGCGGCCGAGACUGGCUAAAGCCACUGCGAUACUGGCCACACCCGCUGUCUUGAAAUUUGGCAGUGGAGGCACAGACACGAUACCACUUGAUUGAGACGUAGGGGUUCUAUAUCGUUUGUAGACGACUUAGAUCUCGGUCGGGGUGCCGUACUUAGUUGAGCAGUUCUUCACUGCGAUCUAUUGAGGCUAAGCCUUUUGACGGGGAGAUAUGU
rnacentral:ncRNA from 1 species